rnacentral:tmRNA from 1 species
GACAUUGAAAUCGGGAACCCUUUGAUCUAUAAUAAUAGUGCUGGUCUUCGGGCCAGAGAUGACGCUGAACGCUUUGGCGGAAUAGGCGUAGUGGACCCGGGGGCAGAGCCCGGCGGCUCCACCACAAGCCCCUAACGGGGGUUUUUGUGGGGCCGAUUUAGGAUCGACACGCGUAGUAAAGGCCUUGGUUGUGUUCGGAAUGGUGUCCGCCGUAAAACGGGCCAAAAACGAUAGUUGCAAACGACAACAAUCGCUGGGACGAAAAGGUUGCUCUCGCAGCCUAAUUAAAUCCCAAUCUCAAUUCCUAGACCCCUAGCCGGGACUAGGUGGGGCUGGGGGCGGGCCUAACAACAGAACCGCCCCAUU